UUUGCUUCUCAGCCUUUUGGCUAAAAUCAAGUGUAGUCUCUGUUCUGAUCAGUUUAAUAUCUGAUACAUCAUCUAUCCAAUGACAAUAUAUUAAAUGGAUUUUUGGCACUAGGAACUGGAAUAGAAGCUUGCUCUGUCCAUCUCAUGUAUCAACCUGGUAUUGCAGUACCUCCAGAAACGGUGCACAAUAA